GCUAGAUGGAGGUGGUGCUAGAACUCUUGUAGAAAAGGAAAUUAUUAUUAUGUUAGUUAUUAUUUUGGCCUAAGCUACAAUGUAUUACAUACUCUUCUUCACAGCUUCUCUCCCCCAUUUUUACACCUUUCUUUAAGGGAAAAAAAUUGGAGUGUUACUGGGGCCAAGAGUCACAAUAAUAUAUUCAGUGGAUAGCCAAGUUGUUUGUAUUUGGUGUCUCCUUUCCCACAAUGUAUACCUUUGUGUGUGAGAACACAGUGGGUGAAGUGCAAUGCAUUUAUUCUUCUGUAUGUAUGUGCACAUCACGCUAUAAGAGAUCACAGUAGACACCAUUCAAAAGGAGUUGCUCAUGAUUGCUGGGAUGUUUGUGGAAUUUGCUUCACCUCAUCCCUUAUUUUUCUUCUUGUAAACACACCACGAAUUUUUGAUCAAGCCUUGGUUCUCUUCACUCGCCGGGAAAUGUACCCUUGCCAGGAGCCCUGUGGCGGAUAUCCUUCUCAGCCACAAGCUGAGGUUUUGCCCAGUGCAGGUUUUGCCCUGUUUGAAAAGAACAAUUUGGGGAAACUUAACAAAGAAAGAACUGGCUUCCAAGCGUUGACAGUUACCGGUUUGGGAAGUUUGACAGAGCAGCCUUUCUAGAAACCUGUUGGAAAAAAAAUGAUUUGCUCAGUGUCUGCCUGCCUUCACUCCUUCCUUCUGUCCUUCCUUUCUUCCUUCCUUCCUUCCUUCCUUCCGCUAAGGAACCUGAGUCUACUUUUGAGGCAAUAGUCCUGAAAGCCUUUGCGCGUUCUCGCAAGCGCGCGCGCGCGCACACACACACACACGCGCGCGCGCGCGCACACACACACACACACGCGCGCGCGCGCGCACACACACACACACAGGCACACACAGGCACACACACACACACACACACACACACACACACACACACACACACACACUUGUUCUUGCCCUCGCUUUUUCCUCUCCUUCCUUAAAAAAAAAAAAACUGUCAAGAAGGAAAAGGUUUUUUUUUUUUUUUUUUUCCUUCUUCUUCUUCUGGUUUGCAGAGAAAUAAAACACUUCUGAAAGAGGGGACCGAGACAUGACUUUGAACUUGGUUCAGCUCCUCUGUUUCCUGCAGUGAGAGGAGAACUGGAGCUGGGAAAGAAUAGCCAGGAGGGCCCAGCCGGCGAGCUCUCCGGCGGGAAUUAAGGCAUCUGCCCUAACGCUCGGCCCUCGAAUCCAGCGCCCAGCCGCGCCAUCCUGAAUUGCGGGCUCAGCAAAGAAGAAAUCAAAGCGAAAGGAGAGAAUAGGUCAAAAAAGAGAGGAAAGGAAGAGUGGGGAGGGGGGUGAGGAAGUGGUAGAAGAGGAAAACCUACAAGUGUGAGGGCUUGAAAGAAGGAAAUAAGGUCUUUGGGUAGCAAGGCUGUUAUUCUCACAACCAAUCUUAGGUUAAAAAAAAAAAUUGGGAGUGGUAGUAUUUUUAGAGCAAACCAAUACAUGCACUUUUCAGUAUAAAUUGCUAAAUAAGGCAAGCAAAUGUGAAAGACUGAAUUAGGCAGGCUUUUAAAAUAAAUGGAUUGAAGCCUUUCUGCUUAGAUAUUUUCCAUCUCUCCCCCCUCCCCUCCCCCUGCGGUCUAGCAGGCCAGUGUAGCUUCUGCCCUUUGAGGUAGGGGAAUGGGAGG
rnacentral:lncRNA from 1 species